UUUGUAUAAUGGGUCAGCGACUUAUAUUCAGUGGCAAGGUUAACCAUCUAGGGGAGCCGUAGGGAAACCGAGUCUUAACUGGGCGUUCAGUCUCUGGAUAUAGACCCGAAACCAGGUGAUCUAGCCAUGGGCAGGUUGAAGGUUGAGUAACAUCAACUGGAGGACCGAACCGACUAAUGUUGAAAAAUUAGCGGAUGACUUGUGGCUAGGGGUGAAAGGCCAAUCAAACCUGGAGAUAGCUGGUUCUCCCCGAAAGCUAUUUAGGUAGCGCCUCGGACGAAUACUACUGGGGGUAGAGCACUGUUAAGGCUAGGGGGUCAUCCCGACUUACCAACCCUUUGCAAACUCCGAAUACCAGUAAGUACUAUCCGGGAGACACACGGCGGGUGCUAACGUCCGUCGUGGAGAGGGAAACAACCCAGACCGCCAGCUAAGGUCCCAAAUUACUACUAAGUGGGAAACGAUGUGGGAAGGCUCAGACAGCCAGGAUGUUGGCUUAGAAGCAGCCAUCAUUUAAAGAAAGCGUAAUAGCUCACUGGUCGAGUCGGCCUGCGCGGAAGAUGUAACGGGGCUAAGUAGUAAACCGAAGCUGCGGCAAUAUACUUUUGUAUAUUGGGUAGGGGAGCGUUCUGUAAGCGGUUGAAGGUGUGUGGUAACGCAUGCUGGACGUAUCAGAAGUGCGAAUGCUGACAUGAGUAACGAUAAAGGGGGUGAAAAACCUCCUCGCCGGAAGACCAAGGGUUCCUGUCCAACGUUAAUCGGGGCAGGGUAAGUCGACCCCUAAGGCGAGGCCGAAAGGCGUAGUCGAUGGGAAACGGGUUAAUAUUCCCGUACUUCUUACAAUUGCGAUGGGGGGACGGAGAAGGCUAGGUGGGCCUGGCGACGGUUGUCCAGGUUCAAGUGCGUAGGCUGAGAGAUUAGGUAAAUCCGGUUUCUCUUAAGGCUGAGACACGACGUCGAGCACCUACGGGUGUGAAGUCAUUGAUGCCAUGCUUCCAGGAAAAGCCUCUAAGCUUCAGAUUGUAAGGAAUCGUACCCCAAACCGACACAGGUGGUCGGGUAG
rnacentral:rRNA from 1 species